rnacentral:rRNA from 3 species
GGUUGACCUCGGAUCAGGUAGGAAUACCCGCUGAACUUAAGCAUAUCAAUAAGCGGAGGAAAAGAAACCAACAGGGAUUGCCCUAGUAACGGCGAGUGAAGCGGCAACAGCUCAAAUUUGAAAUCUGGCCCUUGGGUCCGAGUUGUAAUUUGUAGAGGAUGCUUUUGGUGCGGUACCUUCCGAGUUCCCUGGAACGGGACGCCAUAGAGGGUGAGAGCCCCGUCUGGUUGGAUACCAAUCCUCUGUAAAGCUCCUUCGACGAGUCGAGUAGUUUGGGAAUGCUGCUCUAAAUGGGAGGUAUAUGUCUUCUAAAGCUAAAUAUUGGCCAGAGACCGAUAGCGCACAAGUAGAGUGAUCGAAAGAUGAAAAGCACUUUGAAAAGAGGGUUAAACAGUACGUGAAAUUGUUGAAAGGGAAGCGCUUGUGACCAGACUUGGGCCCGGUUAAUCAUCCACCGUUCUCGGUGGUGCACUUGGCCGGCCCAGGCCAGCAUCAGUUCGGCGCGGGGGAUAAAGGCUUCGGGAAUGUGGCUCCUCCGGGAGUGUUAUAGCCCGUUGUGUAAUACCCUGUACUGGACUGAGGUUCGCGCAUCUGCAAGGAUGCUGGCGUAAUGGUCAUCAGCGACCCGUCUU